CUUGAACGCUGGCGGCAGGCCUAACACAUGCAAGUCGAGCGAGCGGCGGACGGGUGAGUAAUGUAUGGGGACUGCCCGAUAGCGGGGGAUCACUACUGGAAACGGUGGCUAAUACCGCAUACUAUCGGAUAACCCAUAUGGGAUUAGCUAGUAGGUGGGGUAAAGGCUCACCUAGGCGACGAUCUCUCGCUGGUCUGAGAGGAUGCUCAGACACACUGGUACUGAGAAACGGCCCAGCAUCCAAGGGAGGAAGCAGUGGGGAAUAGGGCACAAUGGGAGCAAGCCUGAUGCAGCCAUGCCGCGUGUAUGAAGAAGGCCUUAGGGUUGUAAAGUACUUUCAGCGGGGAGGCGUGACCCGCAGAAGAAGCACCGGCUAACUCCGUGCCAGCAGCCGCGGUAAUUC
rnacentral:rRNA from 1 species